rnacentral:tRNA from 1 species
GCUCCCGUGGUCUAACCUGGAUAUGACGCUAGCCCGCGAAGCUGGUAAUCUGGGUUCAAAUCCCAGCGGGAGCG